CCUACGGGUGGCAGCAGUGAGGAAUAUUGGUCAAUGGCCGAGAGGCUGAACCAGCCAAGUCGCGUGAGGGAAGAAUGUCCUAUGGAUUGUAAACCUCUUUUGUCAGGGAGCAACGUCACCCACGUGUGGGUGUUGGAGAGUACCUGAAGAAAAAGCAUCGGCUAACUCCGUGCCAGCAGCCGCGGUAAUACGGAGGAUGCGAGCGUUAUCCGGAUUUAUUGGGUUUAAAGGGUGCGUAGGCGGGAUGCCAAGUCAGCGGUAAAAAUGCGGUGCUCAACGCCGUCGAGCCGUUGAAACUGGCGUUCUUGAGUGGGCGAGAAGUAUGCGGAAUGCGUGGUGUAGCGGUGAAAUGCAUAGAUAUCACGCAGAACUCCGAUUGCGAAGGCAGCAUACCGGCGCCCUACUGACGCUGAGGCACGAAAGCGUGGGUAUCGAACAGGAUUAGAUACCCGUGUAGUC
rnacentral:rRNA from 1 species